AUACGGAGGGAGCAAGCGUUAUUCGGAAUCACUGGGCGUAAAGGACGCGUAGGCGGGUUUGUAAGUCAGGUGUGAAAUCCUACAGCUCAACUGUAGAACUGCACUUGAAACUACAGACCUAGAGUAUGGAAGGGGCAGAUGGAAUUAGUGGUGUAGGGGUAAAAUCCGUAGAUAUCACUAGGAAUACCGAAAGCGAAGGCGAUCUGCUGGGACAUUACUGAUGCUGAGGCGUGAAAGCGUGGGGAGCAAACAGGAUUAGAAACCCUAGUAGUCC
rnacentral:rRNA from 1 species